rnacentral:rRNA from 1 species
UACGGGGGGGGCAAGCGUUGUUCGGAAUUACUGGGCGUAAAGCGUGCGCAGGCGGUUUUGUAAGCCAGAUGUGAAAUCCCCGGGCUUAACCUGAGAAUGGCAUUUGGGACUGCAAGGCUGGAGUGUGGCAGAGGAGACUGGAAUUCCUGGUGUAGCAGUGAAAUGCGUAGAUAUCAGGAGGAAUACCGAUGGCGAAGGCAGGUCUCUGGGCUGACACUGACGCUCAUUCACGAAAGCGUGGGGAGCAAACAGG